rnacentral:piRNA from 1 species
UGUUCCACUGCUUUGCCAAUGAUGG